AGAGUUUGAUCCUGGCUCAGAUUGAACGCUGGCGGCAGGCCUAACACAUGCAAGUCGAGCGGAAACGAGUUAUCUGAACCUUCGGGGAACGAUAACGGCGUCGAGCGGCGGACGGGUGAGUAAUGCCUAGGAAAUUGCCCUGAUGUGGGGGAUAACCAUUGGAAACGAUGGCUAAUACCGCAUGAUGCCUACGGGCCAAAGAGGGGGACCUUCGGGCCUCUCGCGUCAGGAUAUGCCUAGGUGGGAUUAGCUAGUUGGUGAGGUAAGGGCUCACCAAGGCGACGAUCCCUAGCUGGUCUGAGAGGAUGAUCAGCCACACUGGAACUGAGACACGGUCCAGACUCCUACGGGAGGCAGCAGUGGGGAAUAUUGCACAAUGGGCGCAAGCCUGAUGCAGCCAUGCCGCGUGUAUGAAGAAGGCCUUCGGGUUGUAAAGUACUUUCAGUCGUGAGGAAGGUUCAUGCGUUAAUAGCGUAUGGAUUUGACGUUAGCGACAGAAGAAGCACCGGCUAACUCCGUGCCAGCAGCCGCGGUAAUACGGAGGGUGCGAGCGUUAAUCGGAUUUACUGGGCGUAAAGCGCAUGCAGGUGGUUUGUUAAGUCAGAUGUGAAAGCCCGAGGCUCAACCUCGGAAUAGCAUUUGAAACUGGCAGACUAGAGUACUGUAGAGGGGGGGUAGAAUUUCAGGCGUAGCGGUGAAAUGCGUAGAGAUCUGAAGGGAAUACCGGUGGCGAGGGCGGCCCCCUGGACAGAUACUGACACUCAGAUGCGAAAGGCGUGGGGGAGCAAAACAUGAUUUAGAUACCCUGGUAGUCCACGCCGUAAACGAUGUCUAC
rnacentral:rRNA from 1 species